GUAAAUUAUUAAAGUUAAAGUAUAUGCAUCAUAUGUUUAAGAAAAAUUGUAAUUUACUUAUAAAAAGCUUCAUUCCAAUAUGCUUGCGUAGAGAACAGCAUUAUCAUUUGUCACACAUUGCAGUACCGUAUAUCGUUUACGCGUAAUUCGCGUCAAACUCUGCCGUACAGAGAAACAGCCCCGCACAAAAUUCAACCGUACCUAAGAGGUUGAAUGAGUUCCACGAAGUAAA